GCCAAAUUAACUCAAAGGUAGAGUAUCUGUUUUGUAAACAGUGAAUAUAGGUUCGAUUCCUGUAUUUGGCU
rnacentral:tRNA from 1 species